GUCUAUUGUGAGAGAACCAAUCUGCUGUAAGGUUGGCUACGAUGGGAAGAAAUGCUGCGAGAGAGACAGAACCUGUAGAUGUCCUUCACCGGUUCCACCCAGACAAAUGCUAUACUGGACUGCGGAGAUAUUGUCCAUGUAGAGUAGCAUGCAGCAAUUGGACAAGUCCUUGGCCAGGCUGCGGGUGGCAAAGGAUUCUGCAAUCCGUUCC